CUGUCUGAGCGUCAGCUCCCCCCCCCCCAUCUCAAGCAUCUUUUUUCUUAAGAAGCUUGGAUUACUUUGGAGAAGUAGUUUUUUCUUUUAUAGAAAAAAACUACUCUUCAGAAAUUCAUAGGCAGUAUGGCUCUACCUAGGCCAGAUGUAAUAAAUUAUUUACAAUCAUCUGUUUAGGGAGUUUUUGUACUUGCCUUAACCCACAGAUUCUAAUCUUGGGUGACCUCAGAUCAGGUAGGGAUACCCGCUGAACUUAAGC
rnacentral:misc_RNA from 1 species